GAUGAACGCUGGCUGUGUGCCUAAUACAUGCAUGUCGAGCGGAAGUAGCAAUACUUUAGCGGCGAAUGGGUGAGUAACACGUGCUUAAUCUACCUUUUAGAUUGGAAUACCUAAUGGAAACAUUGGUUAAUGCCGGAUACGCAUGAAAUCGCAUGAUUUCGUUGUGAAAGGAGCGUUUGCUCCACUAAAAGAUGAGGGUGCGGAACAUUAGCUAGUUGGUGAGGUAAUGGCCCACCAAGGCUAUGAUGUUUAGCCGGGUCGAGAGACUGAACGGCCACAUUGGGACUGAGAUACGGCCCAAACUCCUACGGGAGGCAGCAGUAGGGAAUAUUCCACAAUGAGCGAAAGCUUGAUGGAGCGACACAGCGUGCACGAUGAAGGCCCUCGGGUUGUAAAGUGCUGUUGCAAGGGAAGAACACUUAGUUGAGGAGAUGCAACUAAGCUGACGGUACCUUGUUAGAAAGCGAUGGCUAACUAUGUGCCAGCAGCCGCGGUAAUACAUAGGUCGCAAGCGUUAUCCGGAAUUAUUGGGCGUAAAGCGUUCGUAGGCUGUUUAUUAAGUCUGGAGUCAAAUCCCAGGGCUCAACCCUGGCUCGCUUUGGAUACUGGUAAACUAGAGUUGGAUAGAGGUAAGCGGAAUUCCAUGUGAAGCGGUGAAAUGCGUAGAUAUAUGGAAGAACACCAAAGGCGAAGGCAGCUUACUGGGUCUAUACUGACGCUGAGGGACGAAAGCGUGGGGAGCAAACAGGAUUAGAUACCCUGGUAGUCCACGCCGUAAACGAUGAUCAUUAGUCGGUGGGAGCCACUGACGCAGCUAACGCAUUAAAUGAUCCGCCUGAGUAGUAUGCUCGCAAGAGUGAAACUUAAAGGAAUUGACGGGGACCCGCACAAGCGGUGGAGCAUGUGGUUUAAUUUGAGGAUACGCGGAGAACCUUACCCACUCUUGACAUCCUUUGCAAAGCUAUAGAGAUAUAGUGG
rnacentral:rRNA from 2 species